rnacentral:lncRNA from 1 species
AAUUUGCAUAAAACUAGCAAGUGAGCUUUGUUCUCUGUACUGCUCUCAAGAUUGAUUGCUAGGUUUUAGCGAACAAAAAUGCGCUUUUCAAGUUUUGUGAGUAUGUUAAGACUAGUCAUUCAAAUACUGAGUUUUGAGACGUGUCCAAUAGAUGGCAUGUUAAUUGUGAUGGUGUGUUGAUUAUUGUGUCAGUUAUGGGCUUAUGUCGGUUUACUGUCAAAAGUUAAGCUAUCUUCUCUUCGAAAAUUACCGUGAAUUCAUAGUCAGAGGAAACGUGAAAGUCGUGCAGCCAACUGUUUGUUCAAACUCAUUGUAUUGUACUGAAUGUGCCAUAGAAAUUAUACAGGUUUCUAAAUUGGCAUGACAGACUUUAUGAGAAGUAAAGUCCUUUCAAGAAAGACAACAAGGUCCCUUGUUUGCUAACCCAAUGGCUGCUACCCUUGAAUCUCCCUUUUUACUUCCUUAAACGGGCCCUCUUGAUUUGAGGCAAUGUUUUCUGGUAAUCCUUCGCUACUUAUCGUGGACUUCAUCCAUUGCUGAACACCAACGUUGAGAGCAUGCUGUCAUUCCAGACUGAUAAAUUGUGUAUUAAAUGACCAGUGCAUAUCUGAGCUCCCUUCUUUUCUGUGGCCCCGUUUCCCUAAUAACUAAUUACUAACCAACGCCCGCCGGUGGUCACUCACCCGCUGUGAAACCAGGAGGAGGGGAGGGCUCUGGUCGAACGGGGACUUG